GCUGAUGACAGAUGAGUUAGAAUUCUUGGUUGCAAGCAAGAGAAAUCUAGAAUUCACAACAUAAGCAACAAGGAGAUCAUAUGAAGGAUAACGGGGGGCUCACAGGAUUGAAGGGUACCAGAGAGCAAGCCUUGGAUACAAACAGGAAGCCCAAGAAGCAGAAAACGGGAAGCAGAACAGGAGACACAAAAAUCUCCGGUGCCCAGGGAAGCUAGGCAGGUAAAAAGCAAAGGGAAGAAACGAUGACAGCAGAAAGUGGAGCUCAUACUCAUCUUUGAGAGCCACUUGCAAGAGGGCAGAUCUCACAGCGACAGCUCUGGACAUGAUGAAAAACAAAUUAUUCAAAGAUAUUCAUUCUCAAGAUGGUCAAUUUUUUAAAACGUGGACAGUCUGAAUAUUCUAUUUUUUUCCCUUCCUCAUGC